rfam:Myotis brandtii contig312759, whole genome shotgun sequence.
GGCGGUUCUCAGGUGAUGCACCCCAGAAUCGGGCUCCCUCCUCUCUGGUUCCAGGUGUGUCACCUGAGACCCGCA